GUGGUGGUGAUAGUUCUAGAAUUGAAAUUCCUAAGUCACAGAAGAAAAGCCUCAAACAAAAAAAACCAACAGGUGCAAAUCUGAGCAGAGGAGAAUGUGGAGAGUUGUUGAAACAAGAUGUCUCAGAUUCACCAAUUGAAUCAUCCCUGUACACUUACUUUUGUGCUUGAGGGAAAUGCUGCCCAUAGAUUUUCCUCAUAUCUAUUUAGGCCCAGGUUUUCACUUUCUUGUUUUAGUGUUUCAUGGAAUUUAUUAUGUACCUCUUUGCACUGCCCUUCUUCCUCUUCCACCAAUUCAUCUUCCUCAAGGUUGCCUGAAUCUGAGACAUCUUGUUUCAACAACUCUCCACAUUCUCCUCUGCUCAGAUUUGCACUGCCCUUCUUCCUCUUCCACCAAUUCAUCUUCCUCAAGGUUGCCUGAAUAAGAGUUUGUUAAGGGUAAUACAGGUAAGCGACAGUAAACUGUUUUCCUGUUAAUACUUAAUCACGUAUCUGUAUUCAAUCAUUGUAUUUUGAUACUGAAAACAUCUUGUUCAUAGCCAAACUCAGACAUUAUUUUCAAUAUUUUUAUUAUGAGAUUGGAGAGUUUUGGAAGGAGAAAGACAGGAAACUUCAUUCUUUCUGGAAUCUGUGCACUUUCUGUUAUGUAAAACUGAGGGAAUGGAUAAUAUCCAUUAGAAGUUGUAGCCAUUUAGUAGAAUUCAUGAGGUAAUGACUGGAAAUGAAGAAACAAAAGGAAGUUUUGAAUGAAAUUGAGGGCAGGAAACUAGUGAAAUUGUGAGAUAUGUAGGCAGAAAGAAGACUUUCUGAAUAAUAUCAAUGAAACUGCAUUUAGAUUGACACAAGGAAGUGCUUCUCAGAGGUUUUGCAUAGCCAGAGAUGAAGUUUACAACAUGAGGCACUGCAGUUUAAUUGUGCAGAUUCCCACUAAAAAUUGUAGGCCUUUAGAAACCAUGUUGCACUUUGCUUCAUUUAAGUCUUACCCAAGAAAACCGUUUUCCAAGUUGUUAAUGGGUGGUGAAGUAGAUAUUGAUU
rnacentral:lncRNA from 1 species